GACGAACGCUGGCGGCGUGCUUAACACAUGCAAGUCGAACGGAAAGGCCCUGCUUUUGUGGGGUGCUCGAGUGGCGAACGGGUGAGUAACACGUGAGUAACCUGUCCUUGACUUUGGGAUAACUUCAGGAAACUGGGGCUAAUACCGGAUAGGAGCUCCUGCUGCAUGGUGGGGGUUGGUAAGUUUCGGCGGUUGGGGAUGGACUCGCGGCUUAUCAGCUUGUUGGUGGGGUAGUGGCUUACCAAGGCUUUGACGGGUAGCCGGCCUGAGAGGGUGACCGGCCACAUUGGGACUGAGAUACGGCCCAGACUCCUACGGGAGGCAGCAGUGGGGAAUAUUGCACAAUGGGCGGAAGCCUGAUGCAGCAACGCCGCGUGCGGGAUGACGGCCUUCGGGUUGUAAACCGCUUUCGCCUGUGACGAAGCGUGAGUGACGGUAAUGGGUAAAGAAGCACCGGCUAACUACGUG
rnacentral:rRNA from 1 species